UUAAGCGACUAAGCGUACACGGUGGAUGCCCUGGCAGUCAGAGGCGAUGAAGGGCGUGCUAAUCUGCGAUAAGCGCCGGUAAGGUGAUAUGAACCGUUAUAACCGGCGAUACCCGAAUGGGGAAACCCAGUGUGAUUCGUCACACUAUCAUUAACUGAAUCCAUAGGUUAAUGAGGCGAACCGGGGGAACUGAAACAUCUAAGUACCCCGAGGAAAAGAAAUCAACCGAGAUUCCCCCAGUAGCGGCGAGCGAACGGGGAGGAGCCCAGAGCCUGAAUCAGCAUGUGUGUUAGUGGAAGCGUCUGGAAAGGCGCGCGAUACAGGGUGACAGCCCCGUACACAAAAGCGCAUGUGCUGUGAGCUCGAUGAGUAGGGCGGGACACGUGGUAUCCUGUCUGAAUAUGGGGGGACCAUCCUCCAAGGCUAAAUACUCCUGACUGACCGAUAGUGAACCAGUACCGUGAGGGAAAGGCGAAAAGAACCCCGGCGAGGGGAGUGAAAAAGAACCUGAAACCGUGUACGUACAAGCAGUGGGAGCCCCACCACCAAAGCGUUUCGCUUUGUGUGGUGCACAAAGAAGCGUAACGACAGCACUGAAUGACGGUUAACGGAGCGCAAGCGACGUUCAACAUACAAAGUCAAGCAGUGGAGCGCUUUGGGGUGGGGUGACUGCGUACCUUUUGUAUAAUGGGUCAGCGACUUAUAUUCUGUAGCAAGGUUAACCGAAUAGGGGAGCCGGAGGGAAACCGAGUCUUAAUUGGGCGUUAAGUUGCAGGGUAUAGACCCGAAACCCGGUGAUCUAGCCAUGGGCAGGUUGAAGGUUGGGUAACACUAACUGGAGGACCGAACCGACUAAUGUUGAAAAAUUAGCGGAUGACCUGUGGCUGGGGGUGAAAGGCCAAUCAAACCGGGAGAUAGCUGGUUCUCCCCGAAAGCUAUUUAGGUAGCGCCUCGUGAAUUCAUCUCCGGGGGUAGAGCACUGUUUCGGCUAGGGGGCCAUCCCGGCUUACCAACCCGAUGCAAACUGCGAAUACCGGAGAAUGUUAUCACGGGAGACACACGGCGGGUGCUAACGUCCGUCGUGAAGAGGGAAACAACCCAGACCGCCAGCUAAGGUCCCAAAGUCAUGGUUAAGUGGGAAACGAUGUGGGAAGGCCCAGACAGCCAGGAUGUUGGCUUAGAAGCAGCCAUCAUUUAAAGAAAGCGUAAUAGCUCACUGGUCGAGUCGGCCUGCGCGGAAGAUGUAACGGGGCUAAACCAUGCACCGAAGCUGCGGCAGCGACGCUUAUGCGUUGUUGGGUAGGGGAGCGUUCUGUAAGCCUGUGAAGGUGGCCUGUGAGGGUUGCUGGAGGUAUCAGAAGUGCGAAUGCUGACAUAAGUAACGAUAAAGCGGGUGAAAAGCCCGCUCGCCGGAAGACCAAGGGUUCCUGUCCAACGUUAAUCGGGGCAGGGUGAGUCGACCCCUAAGGCGAGGCCGAAAGGCGUAGUCGAUGGGAAACGGGUUAAUAUUCCCGUACUUGGUGUUACUGCGAAGGGGGGACGGAGAAGGCUAUGUUGGCCGGGCGACGGUUGUCCCGGUUUAAGCGUGUAGGUGUGUGUUCCAGGUAAAUCCGGUUCACUUUAACACUGAGGCGUGAUGACGAGGCACUACGGUGCUGAAGCAACAAAUGCCCUGCUUCCAGGAAAAGCCUCUAAGCAUCAGGUAACAUCAAAUCGUACCCCAAACCGACACAGGUGGUCAGGUAGAGAAUACCAAGGCGCUUGAGAGAACUCGGGUGAAGGAACUAGGCAAAAUGGUGCCGUAACUUCGGGAGAAGGCACGCUGACACGUAGGUGAAGUGAUUUACUCAUGGAGCUGAAGUCAGUCGAAGAUACCAGCUGGCUGCAACUGUUUAUUAAAAACACAGCACUGUGCAAACACGAAAGUGGACGUAUACGGUGUGACGCCUGCCCGGUGCCGGAAGGUUAAUUGAUGGGGUCAGCGCAAGCGAAGCUCCUGAUCGAAGCCCCGGUAAACGGCGGCCGUAACUAUAACGGUCCUAAGGUAGCGAAAUUCCUUGUCGGGUAAGUUCCGACCUGCACGAAUGGCGUAAUGAUGGCCAGGCUGUCUCCACCCGAGACUCAGUGAAAUUGAACUCGCUGUGAAGAUGCAGUGUACCCGCGGCAAGACGGAAAGACCCCGUGAACCUUUACUAUAGCUUGACACUGAACAUUGAGCCUUGAUGUGUAGGAUAGGUGGGAGGCUUUGAAGCGUGGACGCCAGUCUGCGUGGAGCCGACCUUGAAAUACCACCCUUUAAUGUUUGAUGUUCUAACGUGGACCCGUAAUCCGGGUUGCGGACAGUGUCUGGUGGGUAGUUUGACUGGGGCGGUCUCCUCCUAAAGAGUAACGGAGGAGCACGAAGGUUGGCUAAUCCUGGUCGGACAUCAGGAGGUUAGUGCAAUGGCAUAAGCCAGCUUGACUGCGAGCGUGACGGCGCGAGCAGGUGCGAAAGCAGGUCAUAGUGAUCCGGUGGUUCUGAAUGGAAGGGCCAUCGCUCAACGGAUAAAAGGUACUCCGGGGAUAACAGGCUGAUACCGCCCAAGAGUUCAUAUCGACGGCGGUGUUUGGCACCUCGAUGUCGGCUCAUCACAUCCUGGGGCUGAAGUAGGUCCCAAGGGUAUGGCUGUUCGCCAUUUAAAGUGGUACGCGAGCUGGGUUUAGAACGUCGUGAGACAGUUCGGUCCCUAUCUGCCGUGGGCGCUGGAGAACUGAGGGGGGCUGCUCCUAGUACGAGAGGACCGGAGUGGACGCAUCACUGGUGUUCGGGUUGUCAUGCCAAUGGCACUGCCCGGUAGCUAAAUGCGGAAGAGAUAAGUGCUGAAAGCAUCUAAGNGUCUCCUGAAGGAACGUUGAAGACGACGACGUUGAUAGGCCGGGUGUGUAAGCGCAGCGAUGCGUUGAGCUAACCGGUACUAAUGAACCGUGAGGCUUAACCUU
rnacentral:rRNA from 1 species